GCCGGUUUAGCUCAGUGGUAGCAGCGUUUCACUUGUAAUGAAAAGGUCACUUGUUCGAUCCAGGUAAUCGGCA